AAAUUCAGGACCUCAGGCCCCACCCUAGACCUCCUGAAACUGAACCUGCAUCUUAACAAGGUCUAUAAGCAGUUUUCAUGCACGUGAACAAUUUCAGAAAGUACUACUCUAAGGGGCUAGAGAAUAUAAUAUACAAUUGUUCAUGAGGUCUGGUGUGUAUGUGUUGGGGAAAAUGGAUGUGGACUCGGUCCUGGUGACUGAGCAUUGGAAGGGGAGCCAGACUGUGAAUGGAAGGGUGCUCACAACCAGCCACUGAACUGGUGAGGUAGGAAACAAGGGACCUCUUCUGUUACAUAAAAAAUGUUCUUGUAUGAAGACAUCAUGAGGGUUAAUGGAGUCUGACCUGGAAGAAAAUGCCUACAUGUUUAUAUGAAAAGCAGGGUGUUUCUGGUGGAGGCAUGUAGAAUACUCAUGUGAAAAGUACUGGUUUCCUGCCUGGUGCUCUCAUCAUUACUGGUCUCAUCUUAUCCUGGUGGCUAAAUCCUAAACAGGUCCAGGCUUUACAGUUACCAGUUCUGAGAAUGGGGAGACUUGGUUACCUGCCAUCGUGACACCCGUUUGGAACCCUGGAACUCUGGGACCGAUCACAGCCACCAGGCCAAGCUCCUCACCCAACCCUUAAAACCAAACCAAAAAGCAGAACAAAUAUGCCUUCCUCCACUUCUUAAACAUGUUUGUAGUGGGAAACUGGAUGCAAAUGAACAGAAUGGCUCAGUAUGGAUGUGGGCAUAUGUUUAAAAAAAAA